CGAGCAGCGGGAACUCGCCUCCAACUUAUGGAACUGAACUCGGGUAUAAGUUCAUGCGAAUCCCCGCUGUCUGUCUGGUAGUGGAACUCGUUCGGUACACGAAUUAGGACCACCUGGUAGCACGGUACUUGAGUUGCGGUUAACAGCAGAAAUCGCAGGCUAAUUGCUGACACACGACCCACUGUAGGGGGUCUCCGUUCGUGAGGUUAUUAGGUAGUUCCCCUUCGGUGAUUUGUGGGCGAACGUCGAUCCUCCUUGCCCGUCAAUUAGUUUG